CUCCUUGUGGUGUAGUUGGAUAUCGCGUUCGGCUGUAAAUGUCUAGUUUGUUUACCGAAAGGUCACCGGCUCGAUUCCGGUCGAGGAGA